ensembl:lncRNA
GUUUGGAGAGGUUAGAGAGGGAGAGAGAUAGUUUGGAGAAUUAGGAAAGUGAGGAGGGAAGGAUCGGUGAUAUGGUCGAGCCAGCUAGGAAGAGGAGGAUUUCCCCUGUGUGGGAACACUCGAUGACUCCUAAUAAGCCACCAGAAAACAAGAGCUGGAUGAAGCCCUCGUCUCCAUGAUAGUGAAGGACACACAGCCCUUCAGUAUUGUCGAUGAUGUUGGAUUCAGGGCAUUUGUGUCCAAACUGGAUCCUAAUUAGGUUCUCUACCUACAAGGCAGGCUCUGAAGGCCAUGGUGGAGGCCAAGUAUGAGUCGGCUAAGAAGAAGGUCAAGGCUAAAGUAGAAAAGGUGGCUGCUGUUAGCCUUACUUCUGACAUGUGGACAUACAUCAAUGGGGAUGCCUACCUGGCUGUAACAUGCCAUUUUGUGGGUGAGAAAACCGCACUCAGUUCAGUGCUGUUAGGAGUGCAGGGAUUCCCCCAAUCACACACUGCUGAAAAUAUAGCUUGUGUGAAAGCCUCCUUGAUAGAGGAAUGGGAAUUGCUAGUUAGGUGACAUGUAUGGUCACUGAUGGUGCUCCCAAUAUGGUUGUCUGUGUGAGAGAGCUGAAGCUUCGGCACCAUAUUUGCAUUGCACACACACUGAAUCUGAAAUUGAAGAAGGCACUUGACCAGCAGCCUGUGCUCUCUGGCAUCCGGGCCAAAGCACGGAAGCUGGUUGGCUUCUUUAGAAGCAGCACCAGUGCUAAGGUAUGUUCUUUCCCUUUUAUUCCAAUUCCUAAUAACGCUAAGAGUUUGUCUGUGUUCCUACUGCAGUGAUUUAAUGGCCUACUCAUCUGUAUCUUUC